UCGGCUCCGGUUCACGCUCGCAGCAGCGGGCGACCCGGCGGCU
rnacentral:ncRNA from 1 species